rnacentral:tRNA from 1 species
GGAGAGAUGUCCGAAUUGGCUAAGGAGCCGGACUUGAAAUCCGGUGAAGCCGAAAGGUGUCUGGGUUCGAGUCCCAGUCUCUCCG